AGAAACGUCUGGAAGCUUAAUCAUGGAAAAGAUGUUACAGUGAUGAUGAGAGGUAUUGCAGGCAUCAAGCCAUUCAUCCUCCCUAAAAUGAAGAGGAAUAAAGAAACACAAAGAUGGUGAAGGGAAGGCCCAGGAGAUAAAUUUAACCCAGUCAAAGUCAUUGAAGAAGAGGAAAGAAUAGUGUAAAAUCACACUCCUCGAAAAUAUCUUCCUUCAUAAUUAAUUUGAAAAUUCCAUGUCUAAUCUGGAACUAAAUAUAUUCUGUAAAAGAAAAUUCUUUGAAUACCAUGGAUAAUGCAUUCUAAUAUCUAACAACCUUUCUAGUCAGAAGUGUCAUUCUUGAGUGUAAUAACCUCUUUUCAUGCAAAUUAAGCUUAUUUCCACUUGUUAGAUGCUUAAUAGAGAUGGAUGAUAGGCACUUUAGUAAUUACAAUCACGCACAUGUAUUAUAAUACUUUUUAAUGUUAACUUAUUCUCCAUUAUUUUCUUUGUAUGCAUUAAAGAAUCAAACACC